UACAGAGGUCUCAAGCGUUGUUCGGAUUCAUUGGGCGUAAAGGGUGCGUAGGCGGCGCGGUAAGUCGGGUGUGAAAUCUCGGAGCUUAACUCCGAAACUGCAUUCGAUACUGCCGUGCUUGAGGACUGGAGAGGAGACUGGAAUUCAUGGUGUAGCAGUGAAAUGCGUAGAGAUCAUGAGGAAGACCAGUGGCGAAGGCGGGUCUCUGGACAGUUCCUGGACACUGAGACACGAAGGCCAGGGGAGCAAACGGG
rnacentral:rRNA from 1 species